GUGCUACAAUGGUCGGUACAGAGGGUUGCCAAGCCGCGAGGUGGAGCUAAUCUCACAAAACCGAUCGUAGUCCGGAUCGCAGUCUGCAACUCGACUGCGUGAAGUCGGAAUCGCUAGUAAUCGCGAAUCAGAAUGUCGCGGUGAAUACGUUCCCGGGCCUUGUACACACCGCCCGUCACACCAUGGGAGUGGGUUGCACCAGAAGUAGCUAGUCUAACCUUCGGGGGGACGGUUACCACGGUGUGAUUCAUGACUGGGGUGAAGUCGUAACAAGGUAGCCGUAGGGGAACCUGCGGCUGGAUCACC
rnacentral:rRNA from 1 species